CUCAGGGAGGUAGUGACAAGAAAUAACAACACUGGAGAUUUUAUUUCUAGUGAUUGGAAUGAUGGGAAUUUAAACCCCUUUCAGAGUAACAAUUGGAGGGCAAGUCUGGUGCCAGCAGCCGCGGUAAUUCCAGCUCCAAUAGCGUAUAUUAAAGUUGUUGCAGUUAAAAAGCUCGUAGUUGGAUGUCUGCUGGAAGCAAUCAGUCCGCCCUAUUUGUAGGGUGUGCACUUGAUGAAUUCUGGCAUCUAUAUGUCCCAAUGUGAUAUACGCGAUGGUGUUAUUAAUAUAUAGGUUAAUCCUGUAUAUUAUAUACCCAUUUGUGUAAUAUUGGGAUAAUACCGUUACUUUGAGAAAAUUAGAGUGUUUGAAGCAGGCUAAUUGCCUUGAAUACUGCAGCAUGGAAUAACAAUAUAGGAUUUCGGUUCUAUUUUGUUGGUUUCUAGGACUGGAAUAAUGAUUAAUAGGGACAGUUGGGGGCAUUCGUAUUUAACUGUCAGAGGUGAAAUUCUUAGAUUUGUUAAAGACGAACUACUGCGAAAGCAUUUGCCAAAGAUGUUUUCAUUAAUCAAGAACGAAAGUUAGGGGCUCGAAGACGAUCAGAUACCGUCGUAGUCUUAACCAUAAACUAUGCCGACUAGAGAUAGGAAACUGUCAUUUUUCUGACUU
rnacentral:rRNA from 1 species